rnacentral:lncRNA from 1 species
UCAUAACUGAGUAAAGCAUCACAAUGGGUUCUUGUCUUAUAAUACUGCCAGACUCCCUGACAUUUGCAGAUGUCUCAAGGUCAUUUAUAGCACUCAGAAACUGGGCACUUUCAGUCUCUGCCUUUUGACUUCAGCUCUUGCUUCAGUGACAUCCUCUGAUUGUGUGGGUAAUGGAAAGAACUGGAUCUGCUUCACAGUGAGGAAUCAACCAACAACUGAAAUCAAGGCACUGAAGCCUGGAUGAAUGCCAAGCCUCUGGCAAAGCAAAGGAAAACCAACUGUGCAAGACACGAACAUCAGCAACAACAGGGUGGUGGUGUGGCUUUGGAUGGAUCCCUGCACUUAUGUAUAAAACACUCUCUUGUGAAGAACCUUUUUCACAAAUACUCAAGGACAUCAAAUAAAUAAUUUUUAUGAUUUCUAUGUUCAAAAAAAAAAAAAAAAAGUGUUAAAAACCAUCUAUUCACCAAGGAUAUCUAAUUAAAAUACGUGUCUCAUUUUAAUAGUGGAAUGGUUUGGUCUUAAGUAUCAACUUGCUUUGCUCUUCAGGAAAGUGCUUUAAAGGGAACUCUCAGUGAUAGGCUGACCUGAAGUGAAGUGCUCUCCCCUCAUCCUUCCCACAAGCGUAUGAAUGCCAAUAUCUUGAACUGAUUACUGUUAGUGGGAGUGUUGGUAGGUGUCAGGUCAGAACAAUUUCAUUUUUAUAGCUCAGAUCAUCUGCAUGUAGGCAUAACUUAACAAGAAGCAGUCAAAACAAUUUCAAAAAUACAAACCGUCUGUUUUUUUUUUUUUGUUAUUGUUGUUUGUUUGUUUUGUUUUUCACCUCUCCCAAGAGAUUUUGCUUCUUUAUAUGCUCCUUUAUACAGCUUCCAGAAGCAUUCAAUUGAAUGCUUCUUGGAUAAUUCCUCUAAUUUUCUAAAUGUACACAAAAUUCUAUGCUGAAACCAGUUUUUCCAAAAACUUUACAAGUCACUGAAGUCUGGACUCUGCCUCUUAAGGGUCACUCAUAAGGGCAUCUUCACGAGGAAAAAAAAAAAAAAAAGAAAAAAAAAAGUGACAAGGUGUAAUCUACACCCAUAAAGGAUGUUUCAGAAUAUUGAACUUGGGUACUUGGGUUUCCCCUUCACCCAGGCCUGUGACAGUCCUUCUUCUAAUAUUCACUUUUCCCUCAAAGGAAAUUAUUGUAUGCUAGCAGAACCAAGGCUUUUUCACCUGCUUCUCAUUUUCUUACUGGAAUAAAAUCCAUAGAAAGGUAGGGCUGGAAAAGACC